UACGAGGGAUGCAAGUGUUAUCCGGAAUCACUGGGCGUAAAGCGUCUGUAGGUGGUCAAAUAAGUCAACUGUUAAAUCUUGAGGCUCAACCUCAAAAUCGCAGUCGAAACUAUUAGACUAGAGUAUAGUAGGGGUAAAGGGAAUUUCCAGUGGAGCGGUGAAAUGCGUAGAGAUUGGAAAGAACACCGAUGGCGAAGGCACUUUACUGGGCUAUUACUAACACUGAGAGACGAAAGCUAGGGUAGCAAAUGGG
rnacentral:rRNA from 1 species